rnacentral:rRNA from 1 species
AUGGUGUCCCGACUCUAUUUGUCUGUACAAGUGACAGUGAAACCGAUGCAUCGUCGUUGUUGGAGCCUUUCUCAAAGUACUAUCCAACAUUUAAACCAGGUCGCUGUUCAUCGUUCGAGAAAUCGACGGGCGAAGCCACAUCCUACAGGCCGUGGAAAGAAUACCCAGUUCGAGAGAAUUCACUGUCUCCCAUUUUCAGUUCGUAUGCCCAGGUACGUAGGUUCCAAAGUUCAGUUCCAAGCGGCUCUGAUCGAUCGAUCUCGAGAUACACGGAUGCGGCGAGCUGCCGCGGGCGCAGCAGAUCCGGGGCUUGUGCCGGUUGUGCAGGAGCACACGCCCGGGCACGUUCCCCACGCGAUCAGCGCGUGCCCGUCGUGCGCGGGCGUCCUCCGUGCACGGGCCUCGUGCCACCUCGGAUCGGACAGCAAAGGCAACAAUGAUGUGUCCCCAGCAGCACAGUUAAUUAGCUCAAGGUCAUCUGUCUACGUGAUUCGAGAGGGGAAAAAGUUCGUUCCUGGUGCUUCUAGUUCAUCACCCCAUGCUGAUAGAUCCUUAUGGGAGUUAGUUUGGGGCACGUUGGUGCCACCAAAAUUGAAACACUUUGCCUGGCAAGAAAAAAAGUCUUCUUUUCAUGCUCUACUUGUUCGCCCCAAUGUUGCUGUUCUUUGGGAUACCAUGAGGAGGCACUGGCCAUUACCAAUAAGGGAGGAGAUUACUUAUAUCGGUGAUGAAUGGCUGCUCCAUCUCCUAGCCGGUUCACAAGAACAUUUAAGAAGCAUGAUCAUCAUGGUGUUGUGGCGGAUCUGGUAUCUGCGAAAUGAACUUGUGCAUGGCAAAACAAUCCCUCCUGUAGAGGUGUCCUGUGCCUUUUGGACCAGCUACUACAACACUUUCAUACAGAGCUCAGCAUCGGCAGACGAAAUAAUCAAAGGUAAAGCCCCAUUGUGUGGAGUCCCACCUGCCAAAAUAGUGCAGCCAGAGCAUGUCACUUCCAUCAAGCCAUGGCCCAAGCCUCAUGUGGGAUCUAUGGCGUUGGCUACUGAUGGUUCUUACAAUUCUUCAGAUGGCUCGGCGGGUUCUGGAAUGAUCCUCCGAGAUGAUAAAGGGGACGUUAUCUUUGCAGCUUACCGUAAACUUUUCCAUGGUAAUGAAGCCCUUGAAUCUGAGUUACAAGCAAUCUGGGAAGGACUAAAGCUGGCGGUUGAACACUCUAGUGCUACGAUUUUACCUCAGUCAGACUGUUCGGUGGCACUUAGAGCACUAUUAGAUGAUUCCGUGGAUAGAUCGCCAUUUGAUUACCACACCAACAGAGGAGAAACAGAUCGCCCGCGUCGCCUGGCCCUGGGCGACUCGGGCGGAACGCGGUUGCUAGCGCCGCCGCCGCUCCUUUCUACACGCCUCGCCGCGCCGCUGCCGGAGGACGUCGCUGGCAAAGCUCACGCGGCCGACGGCGGCGGCGGGGCGCCUUCUCGCGACAGCCUCCGAUCUGUAGGGCGGCAGCUUCGGGCGGCACGUCGGCGCGCGUCGGGACUCAGUUGGGUCGCGGCGACCGGCAACUGUUCUCGACAUCCUCCUGUGGGGCGUGGUGACGGCGACCGGCAACUGUUCUCGACGUCCUCCUGUGGGGCGUGGGGCGCCUCGGUGGAUUUUGGCCGUGGUGUUGUGGCCAGGUUGGCUGCGGUGCCGUGGUUCUGUCUCGUGGACAGAUCUGUCUUUCUUGCUUCAGAUCCGAUCUUCGCGGGGAUUACUCUCUUCAGAUCUGGUGGUUUCAUCCAGCGACAAGAUGCAAUCGAUGGACAACGACUUGACGCAGAGGACAAGAUACAACGGCGAGCAGCUGCUAGGAUCGUGGAAAAGCGGUGGCGACAACAUAUGAUUGACUUCAAUGGUGGUGCUUUCGAGUACCCGGUCUCGAGCUCCGAGGGUGAAAACUUAGAGCCCGACCUUUGGUGGUUGGAUCCGGUGACGGCGACGCUCGAGCAUCGCUCCCUUCAUGAAGGUGUUGCUGUUGAAGAACCCCAUUAUCCUUAUGGUGUGAUGAGAUGGUUCUUGUGGAUAUGGUCAUUGUUGUAG